GGUUGUGGCUCAGUGAUAGAGCGCUUGCCUAGCAUGUGUGAGGCCCUGGGUUCAAUUCUCAGCACCG
rnacentral:tRNA from 1 species